rnacentral:rRNA from 1 species
UACGAACGGUGCAAGCGUUACUCGGAAUCACUGGGCGUAAAGCGCACGUAGGCGGACUCGUAGGUCAGUUGUGAAAUACCUGGGCUCAACCCGGGAACUGCAGCUGAAACCGCUUGUCUUGAAUACCUGAGAGGGUGGGGGAAUACCUGGUGGAGAAGUGAAAUUCGUAGAGAUCAGGUGGAACACCGGAGGCGAAGGCGCCUGCCUGGCAGUGUAUUGACGCUGAGGUGCGAAAGUGCGGGGAGCAAACAGG